UACCAUGCAGUCGAACGAUGAACCACUUCGGUGGGGAUUAGUGGCGAACGGGUGAGUAACACGUGGGCAAUCUGCCCUGCACUCUGGGACAAGCCCUGGAAACGGGGUCUAAUACCGGAUACUGAACCUUGCAGGCAUCUGUGAGGGUCGAAAGCUCCGGCGGUGCAGGAUGAGCCCGCGGCCUAUCAGCUAGUUGGUGAGGUAAUGGCUCACCAAGGCGACGACGGGUAGCCGGCCUGAGAGGGCGACCGGCCACACUGGGACUGAGACACGGCCCAGACUCCUACGGGAGGCAGCAGUGGGGAAUAUUGCACAAUGGGCGAAAGCCUGAUGCAGCGACGCCGCGUGAGGGAUGACGGCCUUCGGGUUGUAAACCUCUUUCAGCAGGGAAGAAGCGAAAGUGACGGUACCUGCAGAAGAAGCGCCGGCUAACUACGUGCCAGCAGCCGCGGUAAUACGUAGGGCGCAAGCGUUGUCCGGAAUUAUUGGGCGUAAAGAGCUCGUAGGCGGCUUGUCGCGUCGGUUGUGAAAGCCCGGGGCUUAACCCCGGGUCUGCAGUCGAUACGGGCAGGCUAGAGUUCGGUAGGGGAGAUCGGAAUUCCUGGUGUAGCGGUGAAAUGCGCAGAUAUCAGGAGGAACACCGGUGGCGAAGGCGGAUCUCUGGGCCGAUACUGACGCUGAGGA
rnacentral:rRNA from 1 species